AUGAAAUAAUAAGAGAGCGCCAGCAAGGUGCCAUGUUACGUCACAAUCCACUCAGGGCCGUCUGGAAACGGAUGCUGGCCCUCUUUUUU
rnacentral:sRNA from 2 species